GGGAAGAGCCCAAACCAACAAGCUUGCUUGUUGGGGUUGUAGGACACUCUAUACGGAGUUACAAAGGACGACAUUAGACGAAUCAUCUGGAAAGAUGAAUCAAAGAAGGUAAUAAUCCUGUAGUCGAAAAUGUUGUCUCUCUUGAGUGGAUCCUGAGUACGACGGAGCACGUGAAAUUCCGUCGGAAUCUGGGAGGACCAUCUCCUAAGGCUAAAUACUCUCUAGUGACCGAUAGUGAACCAGUACCGUGAGGGAAAGGUGAAAAGCACCCCGGAAGGGGAGUGAAAUAGAACCUGAAACCGUGUGCUUACAAGUAGUCAGAGCCCGUUAAUGGGUGAUGGCGUGCCUUUUGUAGAAUGAACCGGCGAGUUACGAUUUGAUGCAAGGUUAAGCAGUAAAUGUGGAGCCGUAGCGAAAGCGAGUCUGAAUAGGGCGUUUAGUAUUUGGUCGUAGACCCGAAACCAGGUGAUCUACCCUUGGUCAGGUUGAAGUUCAGGUAACACUGAAUGGAGGACCGAACCGACUUACGUUGAAAAGUGAGCGGAUGAACUGAGGGUAGCGGAGAAAUUCCAAUCGAACCUGGAGAUAGCUGGUUCUCUCCGAAAUAGCUUUAGGGCUAGCCUCAAGUGAUGAUUAUUGGAGGUAGAGCACUGUUUGGACGAGGGGCCCCUCUCGGGUUACCGAAUUCAGACAAACUCCGAAUGCCAAUUAAUUUAACUUGGGAGUCAGAACAUGGGUGAUAAGGUCCGUGUUCGAAAGGGAAACAGCCCAGACCACCAGCUAAGGUCCCAAAAUAUAUGUUAAGUGGAAAAGGAUGUGGCGUUGCCCAGACAACUAGGAUGUUGGCUUAGAAGCAGCCAUCAUUUAAAGAGUGCGUAAUAGCUCACUAGUCGAGUGACACUGCGCCGAAAAUGUACCGGGGCUAAACAUAUUACCGAAGCUGUGGAUUGUCCUUUGGACAAUGGUAGGAGAGCGUUCUAAGGGCGUUGAAGCAUGAUCGUAAGGACAUGUGGAGCGCUUAGAAGUGAGAAUGCCGGUGUGAG
rnacentral:rRNA from 1 species